AUGCUACUGGUCAAGAAAAAAGAUGGAUCUUGGAGGUUAUGCGCUGAUUAUAGAAAAUUGAAUGCUAUAACUAUCAAAAAUAAAUAUCCCAUUCCUAUGAUUGAGGACCUUCUGGAUCAACUCAAAGGAGCAAAGAUUUUCUCUAAAAUUGAUCUCAGAAAUGGAUAUCACCAAAUCAGGAUGGCAGAAGAGGAUAUACCAAAAACUGCAUUCACUACUCACAUGGGACUAUUUGAAUUUCUAGUUAUGUCCUUUGGACUAACUAAUGGUCCUCCAUCCUUCCAGGCAUUAAUGAACUUAUUGUUUGGCCAUCUCAAAUUUGUUGUGGUUUUCUUUGAUGAUAUCUUGGUGUUCAGUUUCUCUCUGGAAGAACACAAGGACCACUUAAAGCAGGUGUUUGAUAUAUUGCAAACAAACAAACUAUAUGCAAAAAUGGAAAAGUGCACUUUUGGACAGCAUGCGAUUGAAUAUUUGGGUCAUGUUAUUAACUCUGAGGGAGUCUCUACUGACCCAUCUAAGAUACAAUCCAUUAGAGAUUGGCCAACUCCUACUACUGUAACUGAAUUGAGAAGCUUUUUGGGGCUAAGUGGAUAUUAUAGAAGGUUUAUCCAGGGAUAUGGAGUAAUUUGUAGACCACUAUUUGAUUGCUUAAAGAAGGAGGGUUUCUCCUGGAAAGAAGAGCAACAAGAAGCAUUUGUGACAUUGAAAAACAAGCUUACCAACACCCCUGUGUUAGUACUGCCUGAUUUCUCCAAACCUUUCAUUUUGGAAACAGAUGCUUGUGGGUAUGGAUUGGGAGCUGUGUUGAUGCAAGAGGGAAAACCUAUAUCUUACUUC
rnacentral:rRNA from 1 species